CCUCCCGAGCACUGGGAUUAAUGCGUGCGUACCGCUUAUCUGGAAAAAACGAGUGUCCGUCAUGCUGGGGAAGCAUGGCAGCCAGUGGCUGGCAUGGAGCAUGGAGCUGAGAGGCCACAUCUUAGCCACGGCAUGAAGGAGAGGGAGAAAACUGGAAGCAGGGUGAAGCCACAUGAUCUCAAAACCCAUGCCCAGAGACUACUGCCUCCAGCAAGGCCAUGCCUCCCAAACCUCCCCAAACGGCACUACCACACCGGGACACUACCACACGGGGACAUGUUCAAAUGUCCGAGCCUGUGAGGGACGUCUAUCACUCAAACGCCACACCGCGGUACUGCAACCUUUGCCCAGGGACCAUGCUGGCGUCUUUGGAACUCUGGACUCAGACCUUGUGCGGCGGCAGUAGCCUGCCGCCUGCCUUCCUUUACUGGGAGGUAACCGAUUCCCCCAAGGGUGUGUGUCAGAGCCCAAGGUCACACAGGGCCAGGGGCCUGCCUCCAAAGAGACAGUGACGCCACAGGAAGAGGGAACAGGUGGCUUCCUGCCUCUUUUCAUCUUUUGUUUAUCCAAUCAACAAACGUCUGGCGAGUGUCUCCAAGAACUGGGAGCCAAACAGGCGAAGACGCUCUCUCCUGGAGCUCACUAGUGCAGGGAGACAGACAGGAAACACACUGGAAGUCUGUUGCUGAAGGAAUCCAAGGAAUUUCACCCACAAACGACUGUGCACCCUGGGGAUCAGCAUAAAGUAAAGGCCCUUGGUGAGCAGGAAAUACUGUUGGGAGGCUUCCCAGGAUGCUCCUCCCUCAGCUGGAUGAAGGACUCUAGGCCAUUCCCAAGCUUCAAUGAACACACACACACACACACACGCGCACGCACACACACACACACACACACGCACGCACGCACGCACUGUUGGGGGAAGGGGGGCAGCGACGGGGAUGGACACAGUGUGCCUGGACAGAUUGUCAGCUGCGGCGCUUCCCCCAAGGUUCAUUCAGUUUCCAGAGAGCUGAUCAUAUCCACAGCCUCCCAAAUUCACAUUCCCGUCUCCGGCCUCCAUGAAGAAAGACGCAGAGAUAACCCCUGGGAGCAGCGUGCUACAGGAGGGAGCCCCUGCACCAGAGGGGCCAAGCCUGGGUCUUGAAGGAGGAAGGCAUCAGGAGAGAUGCAACUUCAUAUGGGAGACCUCACGGCGGGGCCUCAUAAGAGGACCUGCAUCAGGAGAGAGCGCCACUGUAUAGCAAGGGUCUCAUCAUAUAUCCCUGGAUGGCCUAGAACUUGCUAUGUAGAGCAAGCAGACUCAUCUCAAACUCAGACAUUUGCCUGACUCUGCUUCCCAAGUGUUGGGAUUCAAGGCAUGUGCCACCACACCCAACAAAAUUAAAUCUUUUUUUUUUUUAAGUAAAAAUUAAGGGGUCUGGAGAGAUGGCUCAGCAGUUAAAAGUACUUGUCUUUUGCAGAUAACCUAUGUUCAAUUCCCAGCACCCACAUAACAACUCAUAACCACUCAUAACUUCAGUUCCAGAAUGCACAAGACACAGACAUACAUAAGAGCAAAACUCAUACCCAUAAAGUCUUAAAAAAUUACGACAGAACCCAGCCCUCUGAGCCACCAUUGUCAUAACUGCCUCAGAAGCCUCCUAUGACUAAUGAAGCCACUUAUCUCCUCCCAACAAACUGGAGACACCAGACAGACCCAGGAUGAGAGGAAUCCUGGCAUUUCUUAAUCGCCAUAUGUUGAUUGCUUAGAAUGGAGAAACACCCGGUUUCGUAUACAAAGAAGGCUGCAGGAGACACAGUCGGUGUUUUGCUCUAGGCUUUUUAAAACCUCAGGAAGUCCUCAAGCCCUCUGCAGCCCAACUCAUAAACCAGACCCCACUGUGACAGCAUCCUGGAUUUUGAACGGUGACCACGAGAGGGCGCUGCGACCUAGCUGUGGAAAACGGAGCGGUUCGCAGCUAGGUGGCGCAUGAUAAUCUCGGCUGAGUGGUCGCAGCCAGCAUUAUCCUCUUUGCCUCCUUCCUUGGCUAUGGGGUCUUGAUCCUGCAUCCUUGGCCAUAGGACCUUUGCCAAUAGUGUCUUCGCCCUGCAUCCCUUCCCGUGUGCUUCCUUCCAGGCUCUGGCUGUAUCUGACUUGACAGAAUCAAAGUCAAGUCUAGCUGAAAACACACCAUCUGCCUGUAAGGAGGAAAAAAAAACUCCGGAGCUGUCACGUCAGCGCCCGACGCAGGUUAACCAGCCUCCAAGCAGAUGGUCGCUUUUUAUAAUUACCGGGUCCCUGCCUCGGCUUGCUCCCCUUUGCCUCCUCCCCAGCGGGAGCAGGUGGGUGUCACACCCCCGCGUGUGCCCUGCCACCUGCUGCCACCAGCUACCAGUGGCGACACAGCCCUGCAGAGAGCCCCUUCUCCCCAGGGAGGCCUGGACCCAGAUUAAACAGAUCGUUGACUUGCUGGAGAGGAUGCAACAAAACCUCCACGCCAAACCUUGGAGGGUAAAUUAAUGAAAGAUUUUGACUGAACAACACGAACUUUUAAAUCCAGCCAUUUUGCUCUGGAGGAAUCUGUCAUAAUCCAAAGACUAUCAAAAUCCAAAUUACGGAGAUAGUAACAUAAGCAGUGCUUUGAUGAUAAGAACUUUCCUAAAACACACUCCAUGCUAUGAUAUAAAGGCUACUGUGUAACCAACCAUUGCCAGUGUUUCUGAGGCGUUUGAAAUUACCUUUAAAAAUACGAAGCUGGGGUGGAGAAAUGGCUCAGUGGUUAAGAGCACCAGCUACUCUUCCAGAGGUUCAAUUCCCAGCACUUGUAUGUACGGUGUUUCACAACUGUCUGUAACUCCAAUUCCAGAAAAUCUGAUGCCCUCUCUUGGCAUAUGUGUACAUCAGGCAAAACACCCAUUCACAUAAAUAUAUAUACAUUUUUAAAAGGAAUAUGAAGUUGGUGGUGCAUGCCACUGGAUUUUUCUAAGUUUUUGGCAAAAAGUUAUGGACAAAUAAAAGGAAAUGAACGGUU